rnacentral:lncRNA from 1 species
GUUUUUGAAGAGUUGGCCGACAAAAUAUGGUGCAGCUAAUCCGAGUAGCAUAAUGGCUAAGAGAUUCCAAAAUUCGAUUGAACCCAAAUCAUCGCUACUACAUGAACUCCUUCAAUAGAUUUUACCGAUUCCACGGGGUAAAUUCUUAACUUUCUUAACUUUAUGGAUUCCGUAAGAGUCAUCUAAAGUAAGAAAUGCAAGUCUGAGAUUUGGAGUCCGAACUAUGUUUAGAUUUCAGGUGGUCCUCAUCCGUGGCUGAAAUCACUAACAUGGGAGAAGGGCAAUUGAUUUCGUCGCAGCAAUACUAGUCGAGUUGGGUAAUGUAAAUUUUAUCUGCCAUGAUCUAUCAAUAUUCCAAUUUUGUUUACUUUUUGUAAGUUUAGUGUUUUCAGAUUGCAAAGUUUUCUAUUAACAUAAAUAGAAGUUCCAUAUCUACUUUUGAUUAAUACUUCGAUGUCACUAUUAGAUUACAUGAGCAUUUUAUUAAACUGUAUUUUCAGAGUUUAAAGAAGCAUGGAAUUCGGGUAGAUCAUUGACAAUUGCAAUGUUGUGUUGUCGAUGCUGUUUACAAUGACAUAUGCUUACUCUGUUUAUUUUAACUUUGUUCUAUACAGGCAUUACAUAAGGUUUUCACAAUAGCCCAAGUUUUGUUUUGGAAGAUCACCAAACAGGUUAGUUCCUUUCAUAUAGACUCACCAAUGACUUUUUCAACUGUAAUGAAACAUAUACAAUUCUCAAUGAAAAUCCUAUUUGGUCGAAUAGAAACAAUAUGUUUUUAUUAGAAUGGAUUCAUAUAUCCUUAUUUUCUGACAAAACGAAAAUAUUACAUAAUCAAAUGAAAUACUAUUAAUGAGCCAAUGAGUCUAACACUUUCUCAUUCUCCCAAACGUCUUGCGGCUAAUGCUUCCUUGUAUGACUCAUAGAGCACACGGUCAUAAGUCAUCUCAUCUUCAUCAAUAGUAGGUCUCUUGAGGAAACGAAAAAGGAUUUUGAAACACAUACUACCAUUAAACUUACUUGAUGUAUGAGUUGUUCUCCUAUUAGUGUUUGCUUCAAAUAUUCUUGUUAUACAUGUUUCGUUACUCUGCCAAGUACUGAGCUUUGGAAUCUCCUUUGCAACUAAGUGGCUUGCUUCUGUGGCAUUACGGUGUAGUUGAUACCAGUGGUGAAACUUUGGACCUUUGAAUUCUUUCAACCCAUUGGCAUUCGACAUUGCCUUGACCUUAUUAGAUGUACCUUUUGCUUGCUUUAUAUUGACUGCGUUUUCUUAUCUUCCUAAAACUAAUGUUAUAUAUUAGUUUGUUCUAGGGUUUUUCAACUAGCAUAUUCUGAAUUCAUAUAAAUCAAUUUCCAUUUAUUGUAUAUAUAAAGAUAUAUGGAUUAUUCGCAAUUAAUGUAGUAACAAAUCACUUAAAUUAGGGGUAUUAUGUAACAGUUAUCAUUUAGAUACAACAUGAAUUAUAGGAACUGGACAAUAUAUUGAAACGUAAUUUGCUUUAAGAUUCUCUUGUUAUGUUUCAUUAGUAAAGCAAAAUUUGUUAAGAGGACAAUUCUAAAUCCAUUCAAUACAUGUGUAUACAAACCAAACGUGUAAUCUAAAUCAUAUAUAAACUGAAGGUUGUAAACAUUCAUAAAUUUCUGCCAAGUGCAUAUUUUACAUUAAUGGAUAGAACAUAUUAAUAAAAGAGUUUUUUUAAAUGCUUUAAACGUAACAUAGUACAUCCCAUAUUAUUAGUUGGAAUCAACAUCUUCUUCAUGGUCAUCAUCACUUGGUUCAUACUCAGGCAAUCCACCACUGCAACAAAUCAAUUGAAUAACAGAAUUAUUAUAUAAAUUCUCUGUUUUAUACAUAUAUUGACAUGUUAAUAAAUAUAAACUCACAGUAAGUUGUCAUAAUUAAACUCUGGAAAUUCUUCAGCCAUCAAAAUACGUGAGCACCCAUAGGAAGUGAUUAAGCUAUUGUUUCCUGAUUAUAAACAAUAGGUAUUAUAUAUUUAGGACUUACACUUUCCUUAUAUGUUUUCGGUUAGUAAAAUUCAAGUCUGAACAUGUUAAACAUAAUAGAACUAACCUUCAAAUUGUGAGAUUUUCCAAAAACGCAAUGUACACAUGAUUGGCUGAUUCUGGUGCUCUGGAUUUCCUACAACCUUUUCCUAUUUAGUUACAAACUCAUCUGAUGAUCUACCAACUGCCACACAGUUGAUGUUGUUUUGCCUAAAAAAUUUUAAAUAUAUUUUAGAUGUGCAGACUUCUUAUAUUUUGUACCAAUUUAACAAAUAAUAGAACAUGACAACUAUAUAGAUAAGAUGAAAGCUUACUCCUCAUCUCUGAUUGUGAAUCUGACAACCUUUUGCUCAUUUCUGUAACCAUUUGCACCGUCUCAGAAAUUUAUCUUUUGAAUUGGAUACACUUUCAUUACGAUCCCGGAUGCCUCUGUAAAUAAACAACCUCAAUUCACGAUUAUGUUCAUGUUCACAUAAUUAAAUAUUGCUACCUAGAAAUAGUUGGUUCUAUACAAUAGAAUGCCUUACCAACACAAUACUGUUUUUCUUCAUCACUUGCAUUUUCCAUUUUGCUUGUCGUUGUGAAAUUGAAAUAAUUCAAAACUGAUUUUGGGUGUAAAUCAUGCAUCCUUGUGUUGCAGACGGUUGUUAGUUUGAAAGGAUGGUUCGAGUUCUUCAUGGGAUAAUGAUUGUGGAGAACUUGGAAGAAUGAAAGAAGGUACCAAUUCCCUUCUUUUAACUUUCUUGGAAGAAAGUCAUUAUAUUGAAUAGAUGGAAUGGUUGCAUCGAUCCUAGUUCCCUGUUCGUAAAACAAAGAGUAGUUAGUUAUGACAACACUCUAUAUUUAGGAGUAGGUUGUCUACGUAAGUCUUUCAUAUAAAUCUGGAAAUUUAGAUUAAGGAAAUAUUCGAACCUGCUUGUCAACCAGUAUCAUUUCUCUUCUGUUGCCAAAAUCAUCCCUUAAUGGUUUCCAAAUGCAUAAAACUUUGACCAUCACAUGUUGAUCAGUUGUAUGCUGCUGCAAAUUAGAGAAGAAGGUUUCUGCCCACAUGUAUAGAGAAAAACUUAUAUGAAGAAGAAUGUUUGUGACUGUUUGUAAACUCUAUAACUACUACCCUAUAUAUAGCAAAAAGGACAUAUGUUCAUUGGUUGUGUUGCAUAUAUUGUUAUAUUUAUAUAAACUUGGUCAAAAGUAUUGAGAUGUUACUUAAUGUAAUGCUUUUUCCUGGUGUAAUGACUAAAGUUAAUAUGUUUGUCAGUUUUGGAAAUGUAUGACCAGUCACUUUUAGUAAAGCAAACAGUAUAAUGGUUUCUUUUGACUUGUCAGUUUUUGUUGAAUGCAUUUUGACCAUAUCAAGAUGCUUUUACUGCCAAUAUUAUCUAAACAUUUUCGGACUCAAAAUAGUUUGUUACUUACUGAUUGUGACUAAUAUUCCCCCGUUAGAAUAAACAUUAAUGGUUUUGAUAUUUCAAAAUCUCUAAAUCUGUAAAUUUGGUAUCAACUUGCAUGCUCUAUAUGUAUAUUGGUUUUUUGGCCACGGUAUUAAGUAUAUAUAAAAGCUUCGCCAAUAUAUUGAUCCAGCAUAUUAUAUAAUAGCAUACAUUAUUACAUAACGAUUCAUUAAGAAGAAUAGUAAGUUAUAAGGUAUACGUCACGUUGAUUUAGAAUAAGUAAACUAACUAAGCAUGAGUAUAAUUUUUUUGGUCGUGAUCUACUUUGUAAAAUACAUAGAGAAUCGUAAGGAUAGAAUAGACUGAUGAAUAAAAUGUGUGCGUUCCAUUAAAGCUGUUGAGUUUUGUAAUGCUACCGUUUCUGAAACUAUAAAAGAUUGUCUCUCAGGAACUUAGAAAGUUUAACAGUUUGCUUCAUGAUAUGCUCCUUGAGCUUUUAUUUGUUCCUUGCUGAAUAUUUCCCCACAUAAAGGCUUCUCCAUGAAGUAACCUGCGAUGUUAACAUUCUGUCAUUGUUAGAUGUGUACAUGUAUAAUACCAGAAAAAAAAAAUCUAAUCCAGAGUACUUAUAUGCAUUUUCCUGAAUCUUACAAUUCAAUAAUACGAUUCUGUAAUUCACCAACCAUAUAAUCUUUUUCUGCAGGUUGAUAAACGUUUACUAUGGUAAUCUUGAGAUAAACAACGAUCGAACCACUUACAUUGGAUUAUAAGGUAAACGCUAAGUUCUAUGAAAACGGGGUAGAUUAUGUACAACGUUAGUCAUGCUAAUUAUAUCCAUUUAUAAGUAUGUAAGAUAGAUGCUGAUAAUAAUUGGAUGAUAGUGAUUAUAAUUAACUCACAUCUUUUGUUGAGAAUAUUGGUCUCCAUAAAGAACUUUUUCUUCUCAGCAUUAUCACUUUUCCUCACCAGAAUUUUAGGCUACCUGCAAAAACAGAUCACCCGUUUCAAUAAACCUUAAGGACACAUAAUUACAUGUGACAUGUUUUGUAGUGCAGUAAAAUUGAAACUUACGUGUAAAACAGUGAGCCUAGGCUCAUAAAUUUUGGAACACCUCUUUGAAGACAACAUUCUUUGUCUGUUUGUCGACAAUCCCUUCUUGAUUGAUGAUUAAGAUCUUCAGUCCUUUCUUUGAAGUUACUCUAGAUAAAGCCACAUACAACUGACCAUGAGAAAAAACUGGUUUAGGUAAAUAUAUACCCACAUGCUCUAGAGAUUGGCCUUGGCUUUUAUUGAUAGUCAUAGCGAAGGCUACAGAUAGUGAAAAUUGUCUCCGUCUCAUCUUGAAUGGUAAUUUGGUGUCCGAUGGUGUAACAACAACCUGUGGAAUUAAGACUAUGUCUCCAAUCCGAUCACCUGUGAUCACUCUAGCUUCAACAACAUGGUUUGCCAUUUGCGUUAUUUGAAGUCUAGUGCCAUUACAUAAUCCACCUUUAGGAUCAAUAUUCCUUAGCAACAUCACGGGAGCUCCUAUUUUUAAACGUAAAGCAUGUUGAGGCAAACCUGACAGCUUGAUACUAUUCAAAAAGUCGGGGGUAAUAAUUGGAUUUUUCAAAGAAUCUGUAUAUGUAGGAUCGAUACUAUCACCACUGAGAUACUCCUUCACUUCACCUGCUUUUUAAAAUAAGGAAAACUAUGAGAUUAUCCUAGUUAAAGAGUAAACAUAUCAAAUCAGUAUUUAUAUUAGCGAUUUUAAGGAAGACUUACUGUCCAAUUUGUCAAGCAUAAACUGAUUGAUGAUGUUGACGUCUUCAUUUGUUGGUGCUAAUAUAGCCCUUUUUUGGAAGAAUAUAGCAUCUGCAUGCUUUUGUAACAAACCCAAAUCACCAUAGAUUUCUGAGCAUAUUGCUUCUAUAGGAUUAUCUGCUGCUGUAAUCAGUAAGUCUUCUGGGAUAUCUAUCAAAGCUUCUCCAUCGUUAGGCUCUGAAAUCUUACCAUCACCCACAUCUAAUAACCAGUUAGAAAAGUCUUGGAUAUCGUUAGCUUGGCUUUCGCUUAUGUCCUUCUGAAGCAAACGCAUAUUCUUAGUCAGUUUGAGAACUUUAUAGUGAUCCCAAAGGUAAGAAGCAUUGAGAGCAGAUAAUACUAUCUCAGCUCGCCCGGCACCAUGUAUAAUUGGAAGCACUUGUCUGAAAUCACCUCCGAAAACAACAACUUUCCCAGCAAAAACGUUGUUGCUUACGUUACACAUUAUAUCACAGAGGCUUCUAUCUAAAGACUCAAAACAGUACUUGCUCAUCAUUGGUGCUUCGUCCCAGAUAAUGAGAGAAGCCUCUCUAAUAAGAUUAGCCAGAUCAGAGUUAGGCUUAAUCUUACAAAGAGAGUAAUCGUCAACUAUUAGAGGUAUAGCAAAUCUAGAAUGUGCUGUCCUUCCACCGGGUAACAACAAAGAAGCAAUCCCACUGGAGGCAACGUUGAGAACAAUCUUUCCCCUAUACCUGAUAGUAGCCGAGAGAGUCUUCCACAUAAAGGUUUUACCUGUUCCUCCGAAACCAUAAACAAAAAACACUCCUCCUUUCUCUUCUAAGACAGCACCUGUGAUCUCAUCGUAGAUGCUCCUUUGUUCUGAAGUUAGCAUUUGAACCCACUCGUCAUGCUUCUCUUUCAAACUGCCAUCAUUAUAUCUCAUUUCAUCAGCAAUUAAACGGUUUGAGUUAUCAAGAUCUUCUCUAGAUGGCUGUGGGAAGUCCGUGAUUUUUUGGAGAGAGCCUCCGUUAAUCAACAUGAUCUUUUCAAUUUCUUGAAGUGUGUAGUUUUUGAUUUGAACAUCAGUUAAUAUAAGAUCUGCAUGAGAACAUAUUAUAAGGAUUAGGCUCAGAGAUUGCUGUAAUGUAGAGAUUAACUUGGAAAAAAAAAGUUAAAGUUUACCGGGGUUGUUAUACUCGUCUCUCUUUUUAUGUUCUAUGUCUUCAGAUAACAGCUUCCAAGAUUCUUCCCAUACAUGUUCCGGUCGAAAUAGUGAGUCAGAUAGAAUCAACAUUGCAAAGAAAUUACGUAGAUAAUCAGCAAAACACCAUUGGCUAGCAUCGAGUAUACUAUCAAUCCAAAACUGAUCGUCAGAUAUGAUACCACGUGCAAAACAUGCUUCCUUAUACGAUUUAUAUACAACCCCGUUGUAUGUUUUGAUAUCGUCAUAACUGGUUGGUCCCUUGACUAUGUUAAUUAACACUCUCAAGAAGUACUCAUCUUCAAGUCUUCUUGGUACAUAAUGAAUACGUCCCAAAGAGAAGCCUCUUUUUCUUUUCUUCCACUGCUUAUUCUUACCAUCCCAUGUAAAAAAAGCAGGGAUUUCAGCAUAUGUACAAUCUCGAGCACGUUUACCAUCUUUUCCAACUGCAUCAAUCCUAUUCAAAGUCAACCAUGCCAUGAACAUUGAAUCUUGAUUAGCAACUCUUUCCAGAACCUCUUCUAUGUCUUCGUUUUCAUCAUAGUAGGCUGGUUGCUUUCCUUCAUCAUGAAAAGAUAAUUUUUGAACAGCGGUUGAUCUAUACUGAAUAGGGAAUUUAAAUAUUCUCCAAACAGCUUCUGAGGCUGAGACGUACCUGUAAAAAAUUAUAACAACCCCAUUAAACAUUUAAAUGCAUAUAUUCGGUAAGUUCAAUUAAGAAUAUUUUUUACAUAACAUCCGAAAUCGAACCUGCAGUCAAACCAAUCCUUAAUUUCGUUUUUCUUUUUUUCCCCUGUAUCACUGUUAUCGGUAUUGGCAGUUGAGGUAGUCGUAGUAGUGGCAGUUGAGGUAGUCGUAGUAGUGGCAGUCUUGUUAAAUGGAUCAACGACAACAGCUACACGGUCAGGUCCUUUGUUGAUAUACUUAAAUAAGUAUUUGAUCGAACCGUUUUGGUUACACCAUUCCACAUUGAUAUGAGCACGAUAUCUAGUAGAUAGUAGAGCAUUGUAUGGAACAACGUACCUAUUAUCACACUUGAUACCAUUUUUUUCAACAUAACGGUCAUAUGUACUUCACCUCCUAUAAAUAGGAUAACCAUCACUGCCCACUUUAGUGAACUCUUGGUACUGUUUAGGAUAUUGUUUCGAACACCUUUUGUUGACCAUACAUGGAGAUUUUGGAUUAGCUGCACCACAUGGUCCAUGAAUCAUUGACUUGCUGAUGACUUCAUAAAGUUCUGGAUUUUCAGUUUUAUCUGGGAUCUCAGCUGAUAUAAUCUUGUCUAUGUCAUCAGCUGUUGGUAGCUUACUUUUAGCAUCCAUGAAUAAUAGAAUGUGAGCAUGUGGGAGGCCUCUCUUUUGGAAUUCUACGGUAUACAUAGCUACAUCCAAAACAAUAAAAUAAACAUUCUCAUAAGAUAGAAGGCUCUAAUUUUUGGUAGAUCCGAAUUCAUAGGUCGUUAAAAAAAUGUACCUGCUACAGUUUUUCCCAGUUUCCUUUUUUCGGUCAAAUCUUUCAUAAGUGACUCUAGCUUGAUUUUGAAGAUUCUAGCAACAAUGUCUGGUCUGUCGUCCGCUGUCAACCCACGUUUUUUAACAUAUCUGGUGAUCUCUGGCCACUUAGGAUUACACGUAAAAGUGAUGAACAAAUCAGGAAAUCCAUUAAGCUUGCAUAUUUCCAUAGCAUCAUAGUAACUUUGAACCAUAUAACGUGGACCUCCGGUGAAAGAUGCUGGGAUCAUAAGAUUACCUUGUUCACUCAAAUCCCUGUUUCCAGAAUUUCUUGCAUCUUUAAUGGAAGUAAGAUUCUCACACCUCUUCUUGGACUGAUUAUAUUUGAUAUAAGAUAACCUGUUUGAUUCAGUAGUUGUAUAGGCGUCACACAGAAACUGCUGAAACAAUCUUUUAGACUGAAGUAGUGUAUGACACUCAUUUUCCCUUUCCUGUAAUCUGAAUGCAAACCAUUGUCUCAUACUAAUACACUUCUUCUUUGGACGAUUGGUUGUUCAAGCCAUACAUUUCUCUAUACCAGGCCUCCAUCCAUCUUCACCAUAGCAAAAUAUUAGUGGAUAUUGUAAAGCUAAAUAUGAAAUAUGGAUUUCACUUAUUCUUUUGAGUGCACCAGUUUUUUUGUCUUCAACAAUAAUAUCUCGGGAUGGCAUUCCUUUCUUAAAUCGCCAGGUAUCAAUGCUGCAACUUCUGAUGCUGAUGGCAUGCUGUAAGUUCUUCCAUCAACUCCAACCCGAUCCGAUACAAUCCUCAUGUGAAAGGUUUCAUCUUGAUUAGAUUGAAACCUUUCUUUAGCUAAUCUGAAGUUUUUGACAUAGGGAUUCACACUGUUGAGCAUAAGUAUGAUUGCUUCUAUAACUUCCUUGUUUAACUUCUGCUUCCCUGAUACUUGAUUUCCGUUUUUACUUUUGCUGUGACGAAAAUGUGAAGCCAAGACAAUAAAUUAUGCACGUUUUGUUUCAAUAAUACAUGCAAGAUAGAAGUACCUAAUGACAGAAGCUCUGUUUUCAGCUUCUGUUUCAGUAUCCACAAUGUAUAGCUGAGAAUACUUUGCAUAAUCACCUUCAUCUGGCUGUAAACUCCCAAUCAAAUGAUAAUUUCCCCCUUGUAACCGAAACAUAUUGGGACCAGUACCAUUUGGGACAGAACGAUCGAUUUUACCACCAAGUGACGUCAUUGCAAAUACCAUGUUAUAAAUCCGUUGGUGCUGUCGGUAAUUUCUACUAAGUGCAUCAUUACCCGUUUGCAAUUUCUUUAUCAAGUCUGGUGAUUCUUUAAGUAACGGUAUUUUGACAGAUCCUUGUCCACAACAUAGUGAAAAAACAGGAUUUUUCAGAUUCCUUCUCUUGUUGAUCCGCUCAUCAUACCACAUCAACGCUCCACAAUAUUUACAUGAAUAUGUUGGGUCACCAUGAUCUAGAUAUACUGAGAAGCAAUUAUCACACAUGUUAUAAAGUGUACUUAUAAAAAUUAUCCAUGUACGAAGAUUGAGGGAUAGUUGAAUCAAACCUGCUUUAGAUUGUUCUUUGGCCUUUUUCCUGUUUCGUAUCCUCUUUUUCACUGGUUGUUUUGGUAAUGCGACACUUCUUUUUCUAACACCUUUCACUGCUUGAGGCUGCGUAUCACUUUCUCGAUAUCCAAUUGUGUCAUCUUCUCCUACUUGAAUAGGGUCAACAUUAGUGUUUUCAACCUCUGAAGCUGCAUAUUCAUCAUCAUCAUUGCUGCUGUCAUCAUAGAUUUGGCUGAGCUCAAUAUCAUCAUGAUCUAAGUCAGAGUAAUAAUCAUCCAUUUCAUCAUUAUCUGAGCUAGCCGUGUCUUUAUUAUUUUCACGUUCUGCAUCUGUAUUUUACACAAUAUUAGCAAGAGAGAUAUAAUAGAGUGGAAAUAAAUAGCGUUUAAGUUUAAAUAAUACCUUCAACAUCUUGGUUUUUGCUUUCCUCAGCAAAUUGUGAAUAUAAAUUCAUAGAUGGAAGGUCAGAUUUUGUACGAUUAAAAGAUGCAUGUUUAAGUUGUGUUAAACAUGAAGCAUUUCCUGUGGUUUGUGAAUCUGCUUAAAACAACACAACACGAUUUAAGGGACUUUAAUAUAAGGGACUUAAUAUAGAGUUUAUUUCUUCUCUGUUAAAUAUGGUGUUGUCAUUACCAAUUGUUCCAUUUCCUUCAGUUCUGGACUCAUGAAGGUGUGGCGCCUGUUUUGGAGGAUUUGAUGAUCUUAGGUUGAUGAUGUUUCGUAGAAUAAAUGGAGACUGAAAAUUGCUGCUUGGAGGUGGCGAUGUUUGUCUUGCACCUACAUAUACAAAUGUGAGUUAUGACCUUCUAUGUUUAAAAUUAGAUUGUUUAUAGAGUUCGAUUUUGCAUGUUAAUAUAAAUACUUAGCAUGAUAAUAAUAAGAGUAGAAUGAACUUACGCUUUAAAUUAUGUUUGGCAGGAUGCGUAGGCGUUACAAAUGGUAAGGUGGCAGAUGGAUCAUGAUCUGCAAAGAAUAGUUUAGUGAUAAGUAUUAGUAAACGGAUGCCUUGUGCAUAAUUUGAUCUGGAGCCACUAAGUAAUUGACUGUGUCUGCUACCUUUCUUUGUAUCAGGAGUUGCAGAGCAAUGUGCAGGUAGUUGUCUUUUUUUUGUUGAUAAGAACUUAUUAGUGAUAUCAGAUAGCACAUGUUCAGUACUCCUAAGUACAUUUUCUGCAAAAACGGAUAAGUUGUAGUUAUAAUUUACAAUUAAGAAAGGAAUCCAUCUAAAUAGUAAUCGGAUUGGCAGUUAAACCUUUAGGUGUUGCCGGAGAC